AGCGCCGUAGAGCAGUUGGUAGCUCGCUGGGCCCAUAACCCAGAGGUCGCCAGUUCGAGCCUGGUCGGCGCCA
rnacentral:tRNA from 1 species